UUUUCGUUUUUCUGUAUCCAACGUUUGACCAUUCGUCUUAUUUAAAAAAUUUAUACAAAAAUUUAAAAAAAUUAAUCACGCAUAAAAUACUAUUUAUAUUUUAUCAUCUAGUAAGAAUAAAAAUAUUAAUCGCAAAAAGUUUUCAAAUAAGACGAAUGAUUAAAUAUUGGAUAUGGAAAAAC
rnacentral:pre_miRNA from 1 species